rnacentral:rRNA from 1 species
GGCGAACGCUGGCGGCAGGCCUAACACAUACAAGUCGAGCGCCCCGCAAGGGGAGCGGCAGACGGGAGAGUAACACGUGGGAACGUACCCUUUGGUUCGGAACAACCCAGGGAAACUUGGGCUAAUACCGGAUAAGCCCUUACGGGGAAAGAUUCAUCGCCGAAGGAUCGGCCCGCGUCUGAUUAGCUAGUCGGUGGGGUAACGGCCCACCAAGGCGACGAUCAGUAGCUGGUCUGAGAGGAUGAUCAGCCUCACUGGGACUGAGACACGGCCCAGACUCCUACGGGAGGCAGCAGUGGGGAAUAUUGGACAAUGGGCGCAAGCCUGAUCCAGCCAUGCCGCGUGGGUGAUGAAGGCCCUAGGGUUGUAAAGCCCUUUCGGCGGGGAAGAUAAUGACGGUACCCGCAGAAGAAGCCCCGGCUAACUUCGUGCCAGCAGCCGCCGUAAGAC